rnacentral:lncRNA from 1 species
UUGAAAUUCAAUAUUUGAAUUUAAUAUGUAAAUAAAUGUAUGAAAAGUAAAUAAAAAAGAAUCUAUUUUUUUGUUUUGAGUUUCAACUUAUAUAUUGUUGAUUUGAUUCGUUGCAUACCAAUUUUCGUGGUUUUCGUGGGUACAUGUGAAUGUUCAAUGAAUAACAUAUUUUCUAUAGGAUGUGUAUACAGGGAUAAGUAAACCACGAAAUAUAAUACCCACGAAAAUGCAGCUUUUCCCCAAUCCACGAAAAUUGAUACCCACAAAAAUAAAUGAAUCCACAGUAACACAAAAUUCACAAAAAGUAGGUAAUUUUAUUGAAAUAUGAUUAUAUAUAUAUUUAAAAAGUUUUUCGCAUUAUGACGGGUGAUAUAGAAAAUUGAUAUUUCUGCAUUUUGUUUGUUUGUAGUAAUUAAUCAAAACAUUCUUUCAAUAUGAGAUUUUAAUUUACUCGAUAUAUAAGAAAAAUCCA